AGCCUAUUUCUGUCUGUAAUGACAUUCGCCCUUACUUCUUCCAACAGAGAAAUAUUUUCAGGCCUCACUCAGGACGUCAUUUGGACAGAUGGCAAAAGCUGUCCUGUUCCCGUUACUCCCACUGACCCACCUAAGUGAUCCUCUGGGAGCGUGGCAGCAGCAAGCACAGCUCACUGGUUUUGUGGCAAGGAUUUUAAAGGCACGCUACAAAGCAGAGUUCUAUUUGGCUGAUACUCUUUGUACAGCUUUUUAAGAUUACUGCUUCUGACUCCGAAUGUUAAUUUUUCACAAAUUACACAUUUUGGGUUGUGCAACAGUGUUCUCCUCUUUCCAAGCAGGCAGGUUAUUUUAAUACUGUUAUACAGGGAAUUGUGACUGUUGGAUUUUCAAAAUCUUUUUAUGUCAUUCAGUAGGGGAAGUUUCCUUGAAAGCCAGAGAGCUGCACAUCUGUUAAGUAUCGACGCAAGUAAGCAGAUCACCCAGUCCAGGAGGUGGUUCAAGAGUUGUGUGUGUUUGCAAAGGCACGGACAGUGACCAUGGACACACCCAAUGGAAGUCACGACACGCAGUGCCAGUGUUUCUGUAAGCACAUCUGUGACCAUUCAACAACUUACUAUUCUAUAAAAGUAUUAGACAAAGUGGUUUAAACAAUGUGUCUGUACACUCGUUAAAAUGGCCCAGCCAGGCCUUGGGUUUUGCCUCUGGUGCUGGGCUGUUAUGGGAAUGCCUUGAAGAUCAGUGAGCGGAAACCGACUUGGGUGUGGAGAGGCAACUGAGGGAGAGGGAGGGGAUGGCGCACCCCGGUAAGUACACAGUGCUGGCCACUGCAUGGGCUCCAGGGCAGCGUUACACAGGAAAUCACCCUAUUUGUUAAUCAUCUGGAAAAACAUUUGGUCCACAAACAAAAUCAAAACAGGCUGGAAGCUCCUUGUGAGGGUGGGUGGGGGGGGGGGGCACCACAGAAUAUGCGCCGGAAAUCCAAAGGUGCUCAGAACCAGGCGCCUGCAUCUCUCCUUACACCAG